rnacentral:rRNA from 1 species
CUACGGGUGGCUGCAGUGGGGAAUAUUGCACAAUGGGCGCAAGCCUGAUGCAGCCAUGCCGCGUGUGUGAAGAAGGCCUUCGGGUUGUAAAGCACUUUCAGUAGGGAGGAAGGUGGUAGCGUUAAUAGCGCUAUCAUUUGACGUUACCUACAGAAGAAGCACCGGCUAACUCCGUGCCAGCAGCCGCGGUAAUACGGAGGGGUGCGAGCGUUAAUCGGAAUUACUGGGCGUAAAGCGCAUACAGGUGGUUUGUUAAGUCAGAUGUGAAAGCCCCGGGCUCAACCUGGGAAUUGCAUUUGAAACUGGCAAACUAGAGUACUGUAGAGGGGGGGAGAAUUUCAGGUGUAGCGGUGAAAUGCGUAGAGAUCUGAAGGAAUACCGGUGGCGAAGGCGGCCCCCUGGACAGAUACUGACACUCAGAUGCGAAAGCGUGGGGAGCAAACAGGAUUAGAUACCCCAGUAGUC